CAGCAGCGCGGUAAUACGAAGGGUGCAAGCGUUACUCGGAAUUACUGGGCGUAAAGCGUGCGUAGGUGGUGGUUUAAGUCCGUUGUGAAAGCCCUGGGCUCAACCUGGGAAUUGCAGUGGAUACUGGGUCACUAGAGUGUGGUAGAGGAUAGUGGAAUUUCCGGUGUAGCAGUGAAAUGCGUAGAGAUCGGAAGGAACAUCUGUGGCGAAGGCGACUAUCUGGGCCAACACUGACACUGAGGCACGAAAGCGUGGGGAGCAAACAGGAUUAGAUACCCGCGUAGUCCCUGUCUCUUAUACA
rnacentral:rRNA from 1 species